rnacentral:snRNA from 1 species
AUCGCUUCUCGGCCUUUUGGCUAAGAUCAAGUGUAGUAUAAUCCCAGCUACUCGGGAGGCUGAGGCAGGAGUAUUACAAAUUUUGAAGCCAGCCUGAGCAAUUUAU